UACGUAGGUGGCAAGCGUUGUCCGGAUUUACUGGGCGUAAAGAGCGCGCAGGCGGUCGUUCAAGUCGCGUGUGAAAGCCCCCGGCUCAACUGGGGAGGGUCACGCGAUACUGAUCGACUCGAAGGCAGGAGAGGGUAGUGGAAUUCCCGGUGUAGUGGUGAAAAUGCGUAGAUAUCGGGGAGGAACACCAGUGGCGAAGGCGACUACCUGGCCUGUUCUUGACGCUGAGGCGCGAAAGCUAGGGGAGCAAACGGGG
rnacentral:rRNA from 1 species